rnacentral:piRNA from 1 species
UGUAGAAUUUACUUUUGAAAAGAGUGGAGCC